rnacentral:piRNA from 1 species
UCAUACCAUUAUAUUUACCAU